GUGCAGCAGGCGAGAAAACUCCGCAAUACACGAAAGUGUGACGGGGCCAUCCCGAGUGCCGUCCGCUGAGGACGGCUUUUCCCCAGUGUACACAGCUGGGGGAAUAAGGAGAGGGCAAGCCUGGUGUCAGCCGCCGCGGUAAUACCAGCUCUCCGAGUGGUGGGGACGCUUAUUGGGCCUAAAGCAUCCGUAGCCGGCUGGGCAAGUUCUCCGUUAAAUCCAACGAUUCAAUCGUUGGGCUGCGGGGGAUACUGUCCAGCUUGGGGGUGGGAGAGGCCGACGGUAUUCCCGGGGUAGGGUGAGAUCCUAUAAUCCCGGGAGGACCACCAGUGGCGAAGGCUGUCGGCUAGAACGCGCCCGACGGUGAGGGAUGAAAGCUGGGGGGA
rnacentral:rRNA from 1 species